CCGGGGAGGCCUCAGUGUCUCCUCUCCUUCAGGAGAACGGAAGGACACCUGCGGCCUACGUCGCCUGUGCCGUCUCUCCUUCAAAUACCCUGGAUCAGCUGGGGCUGGACCCCGGCACCCAGGGACAGCUAUGAGCCAGGCAGAGAAACCGCCCAUUCAGACUGAAGCCGAUCAAAGACUCCAGGAAAGUGCAUUUAGAACCCUGACUACAAGUCGCGCACUGGUCCAAGCACCGAGCAAGAGACGGUGAACACACUGACAAGGUCUUCAAGCUGCUGAGGCUCACAGUCCUGUGGGGAAGACACUCAGAAGACAAACAAUGAGUGCCACAGCAAAGGUUUUGUCAAGUUUAUUGAUGUUUGGUUUGAUCUGCUCUGAGGAAAGAGGAUUUGCAGACAGAUGCCAACACGAGCCAGAAGAACCUGGUCCCGGAGUCCUGAGGGGUAUGUCCUGAGGGUGUUUGCUCUCCCACAGAAUCUCAGUGGUCAGUCUGGGGGCCCAAGAAUGACCCUCACCCAGAGCAGCUGCUGCUCCUUAGAACUGGGCUCCUAAUGGUCUUCAGACACU